GUGAGGAAUAUUGGUCAAUGGGCGCAAGCCUGAACCAGCCAUGCCGCGUGCAGGAAGACGGUCCUAUGGAUUGUAAACUGCUUUUAUUUGGGAAUAAACUCCGGUACGUGUACCGGCCUGAAGGUACCAAAUGAAUAAGCACCGGCUAACUCCGUGCCAGCAGCCGCGGGAAUACGGAGGGUGCAAGCGUUAUCCGGAAUCAUUGGGUUUAAAGGGUCCGCAGGCGGUCUUAUAAGUCAGUGGUGAAAGCAUACAGCUCAACUGUAGAACUGCCAUUGAUACUGUAGGACUUGAAUUCGAUCGAAGUGGGCGGAAUGUGACAUGUAGCGGUGAAAUGCUUAGAUAUGUCACAGAACACCGAUAGCGAAGGCAGCUCACUAGGUCUGGAUUGACGCUCAGGGACGAAAGCGUGGGGAGCAAACAGGAUUAGAAACCCUGGUAGUCC
rnacentral:rRNA from 1 species